UGACGAGGCCUUUACUGACGCUAAAGCUCGAAGGUGCGGGUAUCGAACAGGAUUAGAUACCCUGGUAGUCCGCACGGUAAACGAUGGAUGCCCGCUGUUUGCGAUACACUGUGAGCGGCCAAGCGAAAGCGUUAAGCAUCCCACCUGGGGAGUACGCCGGCAACGGUGAAACUCAAAGGGAUUGACGGGGGCCCGCACAAGCGGAGGAACAUGUGGUUUAAUUCGAUGAUACGCGAGGAACCUUACCCGGGCUUGAACUGCAGGAGAACGAUACAGAGAUGUUGAGGUCCCUCGGGACUCCUGUGGAGGUGCUGCAUGGUUGUCGUCAGCUCGUGCCGUGAGGUGUCGGCUUAAGUGCCAUAACGAGCGCAACCCCUCUCCGUAGUUGCCAUCGGGUGAUGCCGGGCACUCUGCGGACACUGCCACCGUAAGGUGCGAGGAAGGUGGGGAUGACGUCAAAUCAGCACGGCCCUUACGUCCGGGGCUACACACGUGUUACAAUGGGUGGUACAGAGCGUCGGUGCUGCGCAAGCCGCAUCCAAUCAUGAAAGCCAUCCUCAGUUCGGACUGGGGUCUGCAACCCGACCCCACGAAGCUGGA
rnacentral:rRNA from 1 species